AACAAUAAAUAAUUAGGACAACCAAUCAAAAUCGAAUACCUAUUUAUUCUAUCCGUAAUGCAUCUUCCCUUCCUCCCUCUAUAUAAACCCCCAACAGGGCUUCUUCUCCUCUAACCCCAUCAAAUCAUCAAUCAUGAAUCAAAAUAAAAAUCAAAUCACCCCUGGUCCAUUCUAAUGGAAUAGUAAAAUUAGGGUUUCUGAGUCAGAGGAGGGCUUCUGAGGACAAACAAUACUCAAAUUAGGGUUUAGGAAUGUCCAAAGAGCCCAUCUCAAUCUUCUUCUUCCGUUAGCCAGCUUCCGGAUACAUGAGGGGUCGGUCUUGGUUGUCUUCUUCUCAUAAGACUGAAGGGGUAAGGGAGGUGACAGAAGAGAGUGAGCACACAUGGUGCUUUCUUGCAUAAUAGUGUAAUGCUUGAAGCUAUGCGUGCUCACUCUCUGUCUGUCACCCCGCCACUCUCUCAAUCUCUCUCUAACUCUCUCCCUCUCUCUCUUUGUGCCUAUGUCUAUUGUCGGCCUGUCAAUUUGCUUCACUUUGAAAGAUGAUUUAGGGUUUGGAAGAUUCAGUCUUCAAACUUUUGAUUGUAAUAAUAUACAUACAUACAUAUAUAUAUAUAUAUAUAUCUAUGAACUCAAAGAUACCACUAUUAAUCUAGCCACGACGUUGUAAUUCAACACAAGUUAAGCAUCCAACCAGCGGAUUUUACCAGCAGUGCAAGGGUUUGACAGUUGAAAAGGAACCAUGGAGGGAGGCCAAUAUUCUCAUCGAACCUCUUGCUGAUUUUUAUUUGUUCUUGCUGUGUCUUGAGUCUUGAGAUAUCUUAUUGUUGUAAUUCUUGCACGAAAUAGAUCAGAUCUGACAUCUUAACCGUCUCUCUCUGUUACAUUUUAAUGAUCUCGAAGCUGUUCGUUUUAUGAGUUUGAACUUAUUGUGCAGCCAUUUAUGUAAAUCAGAUCUAUUAAUAUUUGGAUCGUGUCCCAAAUCCCAAUUAGAUCUUCGGUUCUGUGUCAGUUUGAAGUUUCUCUUGCAGGCCAUUCUUGUUGGUGUGAAAGAGGCAUGGGUUCUUUUGGUUUGUUUGUUUAGCAUAUUUGGAGAUUGUCCCUGUGAUAGAUAGAUACACACAUGCAUAUGCAUAUAUAUAUUUUUUAUAGGAGGGCAGAGUUGACAACAAAUUAGAAGUUGGUCGUUUGUACUUUUACUUGUACUUACUAUGACAAAAGUUACAUCACCGAAGACAGUAUUUAUUGUCUGGACUGUGUGUUCCUUACUAGUUUAUUUCAUUCUUUUACUAAAAAAUUCACCCCCUUUUAACCGUAAAAAUUUUCCUCUAAUUUUUUAAGGUGAAAUUGAUGCAUGGUCAUUGUUCUUGCAGUACAACUUCAGGGGAAAAUCAUUCAUGGGAAAGUUUGUGUUUUUGUCCGAUACAGCAUUGUCGGCACGUGUUGUUCAUUUCAGAUCUGCGAUGUCAUACAAGAUCCAGUACAAGAAUCGAGUGUGUAACGUUAUGUCAUGAGGAACGAUAGAUUCAAGGAAUAAUCAAGAGAUGGGCUUCAAGUCCUAAAUCCCAAUGGCAACUUUGUUCUGUGCAGGAAUAAAUAGUUCUUAUGCAAAUAUUUGUUCGUUCCCAUGCAAAUAUUUGCUCUCUCUCUGCAGGUAGUUUUGUAUUGGCUUCUCAUAUAUUUGUUCUGUUAGAUCAGUGUUUCUAUGCAUGUUUAGGCGUUCUUUUUUUGGAGGAAUUUGGAGGAAUAAAUGUUGCAGGCAGAUAUAGUUUCUCCAAAUCCUCCAUCUAAACAAAAUUUUUAGGUCAUAUCAAAUGAUAGAUUGAGGGAAGUUCUUGGAAGGUAGUAGGCAAACUGGUUGAUUAGUUUGCAAGUCUGCUUGUUCUUUCAUAGGUUUGGAUAAUGCACAGAACAUUUGAUUAGUUUGCUAUCUAUCUAUUAAUCAAAAUCAAAUACCCCCAUGUUCCAUUCUAAUGGAACAGUAAAAUUAGGGUUUUUGAGUCAGGGGAGGGCUUCUGAGGACAAACAAUACUCAAAUUAAGGUUUAGGAAUGUCCAAAGAGCCCAUCUCAAUCUUCUUCUUCCAUUAGCCAGCUUCCGGAUACGUGAGGGGUCGGUCUUGGUCGUCUUCUUCUCAUAAGACUGAAGGGGUAAGGGAGGUGACAGAAGAGAGUGAGCACACAUGGUGCUUUCUUGCAUAAUAGUGUAAUGCUUGAAGCUAUGCGUGCUCACUCUCUGUCUGUCACCCCGCCACUCUCUCAAUCUCUCUCUAACUCUUUCCCUCUCUCUCUUUGUGCCUGUGUCUAUUUUCGGCCUGUCAAUUUGCUUCACUUUGAAAGAUGAUUUAGGGUUUGGAAGAUUCAGUCUUCAAACUUUUGAUUGUAAUAAUAUACAUACAUACAUAUAUAUAUAUAUAUAUAUUUAUCUAUGAACUCAAAGAUACCACUAUUAAUCUAGCCACGACGUUGUAAUUCAACACAAGUUGAGCAUCCAACCAGCGGAUUUUACCAGCAGUGCAAGGGUUUGACAGU